GCGGCGGACGGGUGAGUAACACGUGGGCAACCUACCUUAUAGUUUGGGAUAACUCCGGGAAACCGGGGCUAAUACCGAAUAAUCUGUUUCACCUCAUGGUGAAACACUGAAAGACGGUUUCGGCUGUCGCUAUAGGAUGGGCCCGCGGCGCAUUAGCUAGUUGGUGAGGUAACGGCUCACCAAGGCGACGAUGCGUAGCCGACCUGAGAGGGUGAUCGGCCACACUGGGACUGAGACACGGCCCAGACUCCUACGGGAGGCAGCAGUAGGGAAUCUUCCACAAUGGGCGAAAGCCUGAUGGAGCAACGCCGCGUGAGUGAAGAAGGAUUUCGGUUCGUAAAACUCUGUUGUAAGGGAAGAACAAGUACAGUAGUAACUGGCUGUACCUUGACGGUACCUUAUUAGAAAGCCACGGCUAACUACGUGCCAGCAGCCGCGGUAAUACGUAGGUGGCAAGCGUUGUCCGGAAUUAUUGGGCGUAAAGCGCGCGCAGGUGGUUUCUUAGGUCUGAUGUGAAAGCCCACGGCUCAACCGUGGAGGGUCAUUGGAAACUGGGAGACUUGAGUGCAGAAUAGGAUAGUGGAAUUCCCAGUGUAGCGGUGAAAUGCGUAGAGAUUUGGAGGAACACCAGUGGCGAACGCGACUAUCUGGUCUGUAACUGACACUGAGGCGCGAAAGCGUGGGGAGCAA
rnacentral:rRNA from 1 species